AACCCUAUCACUUUUAUUACAGCUUUGUUCAGAAUGGUUCAAGCUUUGUGAAACACCUUUCACUGGGUUCAGUCCAAAUGUGUGGAGUAGGAAAAUUCCCUAUUCUGCCACUUCUUUCACCUUCCCUUCUGGAUGUACCAUAUAGGUUGAAUGAGAUCACAAAGGAAAAGCAGCAGUGUUGUGCUUCUUUAGCUGCAGGUAAGGAAUUUUGUUGAAGGUUAAAAUGUAUAAGUCAAUAGUAUUAAAAAGGAAAACUUACAAGAAAAAGACUUUUUUAAAAAAUUCAUGAAGUUAUCCAAGACUGUAUGUUAUUGCUUAGUAAAAUUUCUGAGAUACUCAUAAAAUACUAACCAUGUUAUUUUUCAGUUAUAAUUGUGUAUGAGGCAUUUAUGUGUGUUUUUAUUGUGUCUGGUUAAUCCUUUUCUUCUAAUUCAUGGUAUUACUUUAAAUAAUAUUUAAAAUAUAUGUUUUAAAUCAUUAUUUUACUACCCAUUUUCCUAUAUCCCUUCCCAGUUUUAAAAAUAAACUUAUCUGGGCUGGGGAUGUGGCUCAAGCGGUAGCAUACUCGCCUGGCAUGCGUGCUGCCCGGGUUCGAUCCUCAGCACCACAUACCAACAAAGAUGUUGUGUCCGCCAAUAACUAAAAAAUAAAUAUUAAAAAAAAUUCUCUCUCUCUCUCUCUCUCUCUCCCUCUCUAAAAAAAAUAAACUUAUCUAAAGAUCAUUUAAAUGUGUCCUAUAAGUUACAAAACACAAAACUGAUUUAAAAUAAUUAUUAUUGGAGAUUGGGGUUGUGGCUCCAUGUUGGAAUGCUUGCCUAGCUUGUGUGAGGCACUGGAUUCAGUUAUCAGCAGUGCAUAUAGAUAAAUGAACAAAAUAAAGGUCCAUCAAUAUCUAAUAAGUUUUUUGUUUGUUUUUUUAAAUAUUUUUUCAGUUUUUGAUAGACCUUUAUUUUAUCUAUUUAUACAUGGGGCUGGGAAUCUAACCCAGUGCCUCACACAUGCCAGGCAAGUGCACUACCACUGAGCUAUAACCCCAGCCACAAGUAAUAAAAGUUUUAAGAAAUUAUUAUUAUUAUGCAUCCAGAUGCUGUCAAUUGGACAUAAAAUACUUCCAGCCAUGUUUAUUGGUAUCUGUUCCUGAAAGUAGAUUAAAAACUUGAAUCAAAUAACAAGUAUGAGUAAGCAAAAUAGGUUAAAGAACAGGCUUUCCUUUUAAAUAAAUUUCCAUCAUAUUUCUAGAAAAUAUUUAAUACUUGAGGUCACUGAAGUUGAGAAUUCUCAAAACUAACCUGAAAUAUGUGAAAUGGUAGAAAGUAUUAUAUAUCUUCAUGGCUCUAUCUGUUAAAUUUAUAUUUCUUUAAAUUUUUAUCUGCUCAGAUCAAAUGAAAAGGCUUCAUGGUACCUAACAACUACAAUUACCUUUUCAUUUAGAAUGAUCAUAAAAAAAUCAUAACACUCUUUUUUGGGAGUGGAGAUGUAGUUCAAGUAUGUGUGAGGCCCUAGGAUCAAUCCCUAUCACCACAAAAAUUAAAAAUAAAACAAUUUUAUAAAAGAAUGGAAUUAAAACUCUGGUUUAGUUUUAUAAUUAUUUCAUAUUUUCACUUGACUGUUUGAUCUUCUAUUGCCUGUCAUUUCCCAAUGAAUCCAUGCAAAUACUCAUGAAACUGAACUGAGCCAUUGUGGGGAAAAAACAUACUGAUAUGAAGAAUUUUAGGUUUUAGCCUAUUUUAUAGAAGCCUAUUACAUCAAAUAGUAAUCUCAGUCUUUUGAUUACAUGCUGUUGCUGUUAAAUACCCCUAAUAUAUGCAUUUAUUCAUAAAUUGUAUACCAAUAUAUGUUGAUGGUACCUGAUACACUUACAUACCAAAUAUAGUAUAGUAAGUAAAUAGAAACUCUGGUAUUUCUUCUAGCAUGGAAUGUUUUGCCUAGUGCUUACUGGCAAAAUUAGAAUAAACUCAGAUUUGCAGGUAGGUUUUUUGGAGGUGCAUUUUAAAAUGGCUGGGAAUUCAUUUCUUUGGUGAUAGUAUUGCAAAACAUGUUAUAAUUAUAAACUUUUAUAAUAAUUGACAAAGCAGAAAUUAUUCCAAAGAUAUAUGAUCUAUAAGUUGUAUACUUUCAGAGAUGAAAAGGUUAAUAUGGGUGUGUAGGGAAGGAAGAAUAGAAGUUUGUUCAUUGGAUUAGACAAAGGGGAGUGAACAGAAGCAGGGAUGGGAAUAGGAAGCCCAUAGAAUGAAUUGGGAAAUAACUUUCCUGUGUACAUUAUGAACACAUGACCAGUGUGUUAUAUGGGAAGUUAUAUUCCAUGUAUGUAUAAUAUGUCCAAAUAUACUCUACUCUCACGUAUAUCUAAAAAAGAACAAAUAAAAAAGUUAAUAUAAAUAUUUCCACAUAUCAGUGAUACAGAUUUUAUAGCCUUUCCUUUUUAACAAAGACAGGCUGUACAUAUUUUAAGAUACACAAAUUUAAAGUCACCUUUGAAUCUCUCUAUCCAGGUUUCAUACAAAAUGCUGAAUGGGUUAAACUAUACAAAUGCUGUCUGACACAGACUGCUACAUAUAUGUUAGCUGCUGUCAUUGUCAUCAUCAUCAAAGUUUGUAGCCAUCAAUCGUGUAUAUCAACCAUUAUUUAAAAAUACACAGUGUGGGCUGCGAUUGUGCCUAGCAAGAGUGAGGAACUGGGUUCAAUUCUCAGCACCGCAUAUAAAUAAAGUCCAUUGAUAACUAAAAAACAUAUUAAAAAAAACACUCAGUGUGUUUAGGGAAAUCUAUGCCAUCAUUUUGGAGAUGGCAUAGAAAAAAUGUCUAAUGUUGCCCUUUGUUCUAAUAUUUCUUUUUUUCUUCCUCCUCUCUCUCUCUCUCUCUCUCUCUCUCUCUCUCUCUCUCUCUCUCUCGGCACUGGGGAUUGAACCUAGGGUGCUUAACCACUGAGCCACAUCUCCACCCCUUUUUAGUUUUUACUUUGAGACAGGGUCUCACUAAAUUGCUUAGGGCCUCACUAAGUUGCUGAGGCUCUUUGAACUUGUGAUCCUUCUGCCUCUAUCUCCUGAAUUGCUGGGAUUAUAGGCCUGUGCCACUGUACCUGGCUGCUUCAUCAUUUUUUGACAUUUUUUUUUAGUACAAAUAACAGAUAACAAUCAUAUUUCUUCAAAUGUUUUAUAAAAAACCAACUGGACUGGGAAUGUAAAUCAGUGAUAGAGCAAUUGCCUAACAUGUAUAAGGACUUUUCUUCAAUCCCCUGAAACACAGGGAAAAAAAACAAACAAACAAACAAACUCAAAUCAGUCUAAAAGUAAAAUUUUAGAAUUUUUUCUAUUACAUAUCCUAUUUUUAUCUUAUACAUAAAAGUUGUAAUUACCAGAAAUGUUCAUUGUUUAGGAUAAAAAAAUCCCAUUUUAUCUGCAAAAAUUAUUAUGAAAGUAUAACACUUUUUAAAAAUUCAUUUAUUUUUACUUUUCCUUUUUUGAGGGGGCAGGUCUGAAGUUUGAAAUUAAGGUGCUUUAUAACUGAGCUACAUCCUAGCCCUUUUUUAUUUUAUUAUUAUUAUUUUCUUUUUUUGAGCCAGGAUCUCACUAAGUUGCUUAGGGCUUUGCUACAUUGUUGAGACUGGCCUCAAAUUUGUGAACUUCAUGCUUCAGCCUGCCAGAUUGUUGGGAUUACAGGCUUGUGCCACAACACCCAGCCAAAAUAUAUUUAUUUUCAGUUAAUAAACAUUAUAUUUAUUCAUUGUAUACAAAGUGUAACAGUAUUAAUUUAUUUUAAAUUAAUAGGAAAUUUGAUAAUAUGUUUAACUCCAGAAUAAUAGAGUAAUAUAUGUAUUUAAUUGAUUAUCAUUCAGGUAAUCAUUUCAUAUUUAGAUUUAUUUAUUAUCCUUAAAGGAAGGGUAGAAUCUUUAAAGCAUAUACUUAUUAUAUUAUAUUACUUUAUAUGUUAAAUAUUUGAUUUCUUGCUUUUAAUUAAUUAAAAUAUAGUUUUUUUGUCUUUUAAAGAUAUCUUGAAAUCAAUUGUCUAGCACUUGUUCUUGGGGCAGAGGGUGUAACUCAGUAGUAAAGUGCUGGCCUAGCAUACAGGAGUCUCUGGGUACUAUCCCCAGAACCUCAAAAAAAAAAAAAAAAUCUAGCACUGUUUUCUAAUUUCCUUUGGGUCUUUUAAAAAUCUGGUAAAUCAGAUGUGGUGGUACCCACUAUAUUCCGAGCAUCGGAAGCUGAAACUGGAGAAUGCCUGUGCAACAUAGAAAGAAUCUAUCUCCAACAAACAAGCAAAAAAAUAACCUGAUAAUAAUAGAGAAUUGGGGCUGGGGUUGUGGCUCAGCAGUAGAGCACUUGCCUGCCAUGUGCGAGGCCCUGGGUUUGAUCCUCAGCACCACAUAUAAAUCAAUAAAAUAAAGGUAUGUGUCCAACUACAACUAAAAACAAAAUAUUUUUUAAAAAGAAGAAUUGCUCUGGGGGUGGUGGCACAUGCCUAUAAUCCUAUUGACUCAGGAGAUGAAGGCAGGAGGAUCAUGAGUUUAAAACUAACCUCAGGAAUUAAGGCAUGAACCUAAGGAAUGUAGCGAGACCCUGUCUCAAAAUUAAAAAAAAAAAAAUGCCUGGAAAUUUGGCUCAGUGGUUAAGUGCCCCUGGGUUCAAUCCCCAAUACAAAAAGAAAUACAUAUAUAUAAAUUUCAUUCCAUAAAAGUUGACAUAACCAACAUACAUUUUGCAGGUAAAUUUUAGAGAGUUUGCAGACACAUUGUAACUUACUCUCUACCCCAUGUUUAGAGUAACUAAUGUGUGAUAAUACAGUUCUUGGAUUUGUAUUUAUUUUUAUGAUUGACAUAUAUGAUUUUUAUGAUUGACAUAUGUGAUCAUCAUAUAUUUAUAUUGACAUAUAUUUAUCUUUUCUGUUAGGCUUACCUCAUUUUUCUUCUGGUCUUUUCUGCUGCUGGGGAAGGGAUAUUUUUAUUGCACUUAAAGGUUUACAGUUGGUUACUGGACGAUA
rnacentral:lncRNA from 1 species